rfam:Candida tenuis ATCC 10573 unplaced genomic scaffold CANTEscaffold_00006, whole genome shotgun sequence.
GGUUCCAUGGUCUAGCGGUAUGACGUCUCCUUCACACGGAGAAGAUCCCGGGUUCGAUCCCCGGUGGGAUCA